GGAGAUUUAAGUGAGACGGAAAAGAAAAGAAACGAACGGAUCUUGAAGAGAAGCCAAGCGCUGCUACAGUGCAAAAUUUUUCUGACCAAAACGGGCGGAAAGCGAAGGAAAACUGAUGGAAGCUUACAAAUUUUUUUUUUAUCCUUUCUUUUCUCACAUAACUUACCCUUUCUCUUCUUUUCUUUUCUAUCCUCAACUCACAAACUAGCUAAAGUCCGUAGUCAAGAAACUCGAUUUUUGAGUAAAAAUCAGGGGAUUCAACUCUGGUGCAGCAGUUAAAGAAAUUAGCAGUGACUACCAGAACAUAACCAGGACCCAAAUUUAAAAAUGAAUCUUCAUCAAAACAAGAAAAAGCUUAAAUUUCAAACAUAAGAUAGGUUAACUAGCAUCGAUUAAAGGGAUAUGAAUUAAGAACCCUCAGUCAAAUUAUUUCAAGUCAUCUAUGCCGAAACAAGCUUAUAUUAAAUAAGACUUACAGGUGGAGAAGGGGAUGAAAGGAAGCCCAGCAGUUCUUCCAGCUCUGCCGCCAUUUCUGUGGAAGCCUUUUAACUAACUAUUUUACCAGCUCUUGUCCUGAACAAACCUAUUUCUGGGUUUUAUUAGCCUAUUGUCACGAAGUUGCGGCUUUUUUAAAUUUUUUUUAAUUACGCAGAAAAUAAGGGGUUAGCUGCGGUUGAGCGCUGUGCUGUAGAAUGAAGGCGUGACAUGAGAAACGCGCCUCCUGUCAUCUGAUUCUGAGCAGAGAAAGGCGCGGUUCUAGUAACUACAUUUUGACAGAAAUUGAAAACAACACGUCACUAUAUUUAUUUAUAUUUGAAGCAUCCAUAUAUGUUGUAUUUAGGAGUAAUCAGAAUUAAAAAAGAUGUGGACAAUUGAAGUUGCAUGUAUUUGUGACUCAAGUUAAAAAACUGAAGCUGCAUCUUACGUUUUUACUAACCCAAAUAAAAUUACAUCUUAAAUGUAUGAUAUAGAAGUAAUAUUCAAAAAAGAAUUCUAAUUAUAUAAAGUGAUGACUAGGCGUACAAAUUACCCAUCCUAUAAUAUCCUGUUUCUACCGCAACAAUUAGAAAUGUUACACAAAUUAGCACAAAGUCUAGUUAAUCGCGACUUCAGUGGAUCCUCAUGUCUUGAACCAAUAAGUGGUCUAUUUUUUUUUUUUUACUUCGCGCACCAACCCCCCCCCCCCCCUCCCCGGCGCAUCUCUUUCCCAGUAAAAAUGUAAAUCUGUCCUUAUUUUUUUCAAUAAUCAAAAUUACUGGAAAGCACGCAACAAAGUUAGAUUAAUACUUAGAGGUAAUCAAAAUUCUGGUGCAAAGUACAAUCUAAAGUGAAGCCCACAAACCAACACCAUCCAGCCAAUUGGUAACUGGAAGCGUGGUGUGGGAUGUUCCAUAUGCUGAUCACUGUACCAGGCUCCCCGCCACAAGUUGGAGAGAGAAGAUUAAUUUUUCAGAGUAGGUGUUUUAAUGACAUCUUUCUACUUAGGGAAAUUUCUAUUGGAAAGAUAAAAAAUUGGAGUUACAGAGCAGACAUGUUUUGGGGCAAUGUAGGUCUUUAGCUUGUGUCUCCUCUUUUCACCCUUUUCCUACAACACCUUUGCAUAAUGAGAGCUCAAAUAGAUACAAGAAACUUUUAACCAUCAUGUUCAACCUUUUUUUUUUCAUUUUUCUUUUACUUUUAAGAUUUUUUUUUUUGGAAAACUUUUUACUUCUAAGAUUAUUAGGGAUUCGCAUAGUCGGGCUAAAUUGGUGGUGGGUGACUAAUUCUUUUGUUCAUUGAUGAAAAAAGAAAAAAUUGUACAAAUGUUGUCUGAUAGGAGAAUCUUCUACAACUCUACCUGCCGUGCUUACUAAGCACGGUUAAAAAAAUUGGGUUGCUGCGAUGACUAAACUCGGCAUCCUAUUGGGAUUUUUUUUGAAAGAAAAAAAUCUGAUGGCAAAAAAGAGUGUAUUAUUAGGCAAGCAUGUGAUUUCCCUAUUAUUUAGACACCUGAUAGUGAAUAACUUAAAAAGUUUCAAAGAUUCUUUGUUUUGAUCUUGCUGAUAGAUAAGUUAGUCAGCAAAAGAAAAUCUAAAGGCAAUGAGUGAAAAAGACUGGGGGUAGAUUUUUUUCAUUUGUGUAAUCUGUUUCUUGGUAAAACUCAGAUUAUGAAAUUUUUGAAUUAAGAAUAUUGCAGUAUGACACUAUGACUCGUUUUUCGUAUGACCCCAAUAGUGAAUUAAUUAGGCAAGAAUGUGAAUGCUUUUAUACCGCUUUUCUUAUUUAAAAAUAAAUGAGAAAAUACUUGUGAAAUACUGGCCGUUUAAAUUCUAUAGUAAAACAAGCAACUUAAAAAUUAUUGUUUGAGGAAGAUCCCUAAAAGGAUUUUUAAAAAAAUUUACAGUUGUCUCUGUCCUUUCCCAACCCCUUCCAGGUUCCCAACCCCUUCAACACUGAAAUGUUGCCGUUUCAAUUUCAGUGUGCAGUGUUUCAAUUCAAACACUUCAUUUCUCACAAUGUUUCGAUAAAUUUCAUUGCCAAAAUUGUGCAACACCAUUGCUGGCCAAUUAAUGAAUUUGAGUGGUUACUAUACCAAUUUAAGCAUUUGUCUCGUUUAAACUGUUCUGUUGGAUUACUAUGUGGCGGUAGGGCUUGGAUAAGCUGUUCUAUUUUCUGGUUAGCAUUUCAAAAUGUACAUAGUUAAAGCAACUAAUCCAACCUGUUCCCUAAUUUAUCUAUCGUGUUUCUAAUAAUCUCUAAUUGGCCCUACCUCAAUUUUUUGCUUCCCUCCGCCGUGUCCAUUGGCCUUAAACUUCCCUUGAACAAUUCCAUUUCGUACUAGAAACACUAAAUUGCAGACACGUAAUAUUAUAAAACUAGUUGAAGAUCUCUAAUUUUAUUGGAAACAUGAUGUCAUGAAGUAAAAAGAAUGGAAAAUUAUGAGCAGACCGAAUCCAAGCACGAAGUCAACCUAGACCCAGUACGUUUUUCUUCUCCAAGAUGAACAAUAGUUCCAUUUAUCGGGAUCCGUUUUAUCUAAAUUUAAAACAGGCCGAAUAUGGAUCUACAUGUUCGGACUUGUUUUGGUCCCGGAUUUGAUCUAAUAUAGAUAUUUUAAUAUAAAAAUAAUAUAAUCAUUAAAAUUUGUUACUAACCAAUUUAUUUCCUAUUAAAAUAUUUAUUAAAAAUCAAAUAAUUGUUAGAAUUAUUCUCAUCGUAUUGUUAAUAUUGUGUUGAUAAAUUAAAAUUUAAAAUUAUCGAUAAAAUUAAUUAUUGAUUAAAUUUUAAAAACUACUGGGAUACGGCUUGGACCAGGCCCCGAUCCAAAGCUACAUAUUGAGACCUAUUGGGUACGGACCAUUUUAUUACUUACAUACCGGAGAUUUUUGUAAUGAUGCUUUCUGUUCAGCGCUGGCACUUUCCUGGGGAAGAAAUGGAACAGGUAGGAAUAAGAUUUGUUCUAGGGCGGAGUUUACUCAGCUAGGCACACACUUGGAUAGCAGCUGCGGUUCCUUAUAAAAAAAAAAAAAAUUCGUUCUAGCAAAAAAAAAUUAAAGAAAAAGGUGAUACAUUUGGCUUGGUUUUAUCUGUUGAAUUUACGUCUUCUUUUUUUUUUUUUUUUCUUAAGCAAAUUUUGAUGCUGUUGUUUUAGGCCGUAUGUGAACGGUAACGGCAGCAAUGGCAACCGUAAUUUCUUCUGAUGACAGGACUGCUGGAGUUCGUGCGUGCAUUUUAGCUAGCUUUUAGUCAAGAGGUCUAAGUUUAACCGUAUAUUUGCACCUUUCCGUUUUUUUCCUGCUAAUACUUUAUAAUCCAAAUGUGAGAUAAAUUCACAGCAGCAGCAAGUCACCAGCCACAUGUGGAUGCUCCUAAGAUGUGAUUUUAAGGGUCCGAGAUUUUGUUUCCAUAUAAGAUAUCCAUCACCCGGAUGCAAAGCAUGCAACCAUCCAAUUUAACGAGUGACGUCAACUGCACUGGCAGGAUGUGCACGUCUAAACAAUGAUGGAAAGAAGGCACCCGGGAAAGAAUGCACGCCUAAACAAAGGGUAUUAACAAGACGAAAUCUCAAUCAAUGUCAAGAAAGAUCGCAUGCAAGUUAAAAUGAACAUUUGCAAACUGUAAUUUGGGGUAAAACCCAACCUGACCCAAGAGAACAAGGAAUACACCAAACUAGCUUGCUCACGCAAGAUACCGAUACAAUCUUCUAUCUGAACUAUCCCUCUCCAAAAAAUCACGCUCAAUGAGGGAUUCAAUUCGUUUCUUUAUUUCUCCAGGAUUGGCCAGAAAACGAGAUUGCAACUGCUUGGUCACCUCUGCAAUAAUGUUGUUAUGAUCCAACACCCUCCGAGAUUUCAUGAUCCUAACUAUAGCAGCCUCAAUCUGGGGCUUCCUGUCCUCUUCAACCCUCUGACGUGUCUCCUGUUUUUCAGGCUCAGAUUCCUUCUGUGCAACUACAGUUCCUAUCUUCACCUUGUAAAACUUGCUUGUAAACUUAUCAUUCACAAAAAAAGCAUCUUCUUCUCCAAUAUCUUUGCUCAUUGGCUCUUUCCGAAGAACAUUCUUCCCCUUGACACAUGCCAGGGACUGCAAGCAUCUUCUCAAGUCAGAUGAAGGAAUCUCAGUCGCCUGCUCAAUUUCCUUGUAGCUGAGCCUAUCAGCACUGUUAAAUAGCAUGAGGACGCACAUCUGGUAAGUGGACACAUUCAGCUCAUGCUUUUGCCCUUUUCCAAAGAUUGCUUUCAGAUCAGCAGUCCCCAUGUUUGUUUGCCAGGAGAGCCUCCGACCUGUAUGUGUCCCAAGAUAAUAUGAACGGAACUUUUCACAAAGAGCAGACAUUUCAGCGGGCAGAUUGCAAGUGAUACUAGGUUGUGUCGGCCAGGACCCUGUUGUCAGAACCUGGACAACCAGUGUGGGACUAUCGCCUAACUCAGCAGCAUACGCAGCAUAAAACCCUUGCAUAGUAUCCUGAGAUGUUUUCAUGUCAGUGAACAUACCCUCUAAUUUUGACGUAAACUGAUACCCACAUUCCGUCUUCAACUUGACUAUCAGACUUCUCUCAGCAUCAUCAGAAACUGUUUUUCCUGAUAGAAGUCGUUUUGCCAAAUGCUGUUUGUAGUAUUUCUCAAAGACAUCCUUCUCCUGCAAAUACCGGAAAAGCAUCAUAACCUUGUCAAGAAUAGUCUCAACAUCUUCCUCACUGACUCCCUUCAGACCUUUCCGCAGUUUCUCGUCCACAAACAAAGAAAUGAACUCCGGAGAACGAGGAUUAAGAUUAAUGAAGUACUCAAAGGAGGAGUUCAAGGCAUUCUGGAAAGUUUUGUCAUUGCUAAAAGCUAAAUUUAUGAUUUUAUCAUACUUAUCUUUCUCAUUCAAGAGGCACUGGACAAAUUCGACAGGAUCCUUCAACUUCUCAGCAUCAGUAACAAGCUGCUUACCAGUUUCUCUUAAAUGUGAAGUCAUAACAUCUCUUAUUGUUGGAAGACCAUUAGGGACCCGGCGGAAUAAGUUGUACAUCCUCCCCAAAUCCUCAUACUUGUCAUCAAUUAGCAUAUUCACCAAGCCUGAAUUAUCCAUGUGAACUAGUCGAAGCAUGUGGCUCGCAAUCAUCUCCUUCUCCACGACAUUGGUAAUCUUAGUUUCACUCUUUGAAUCCAAGUACAGUGAGACCCUCUCGAUCUCUUCAUUUAGACGUCUUUCAGCUUUCUUAAGAUAGUCUCCACAAUCACAACAUUCGAUGAAAUCCUGUGAUUCUGCCCUGUAAAAAUCAGCUGAAACUUCAAGAAAAUGUUUCUCAAAGUCUUCUUGAUACACUGAAGAUCCCAAGUCCAUUAGCAUCUUAAUUAUAUUUCUCAUCAGCCCCCUGUUAAUGAUUUCACCAGUCCUUUCUUUUUGUAUGAGUUCAAGAAGCGUAUCCAGAAGCCUAGUCUGUAUCUUACUUGAAUGUAUCACAUUGUCCCUCCAGAGAUUUAGCCCAAGCUCAUGAACAGGAGUUUUACGAUUACUGGGAAUGAAAGUCCGGUCCAUGUACAUCAAUAUGUCACGGAUCAUCUGCAAUGCCUUGUUAUGAUCAUUCCAUUUUCUGUUAAGCUCUUCCAGGAACAAAUUACCUUGGGCCGCCUCUAUGGUUUUUGCCAUCUCUUGUAGGUGAAGAGUCAUUGUCCCUACAAGGCCUGAGUACAGCUUCUCACCAAAUUUAUGCAACACCAUGUUGUAAGCAUUUCUGGAGUAAUGCAAAUUAGACAUCAGAUAUAAAAAAGAAUUUACCAUACAACAAAACAUUUAUACCGAUGGGCUAAACAAAGACUUCUCAACAUGUGAAAUGCAACUGACAAGAAACAAAAAUUAUAUACAAAAAGCUAAUAAAAACCAAUCAUAGGAUCUCUAGAUCUGUAAGUCUAGGAGUACUGAAAUUUCCCGUGGUCAACGUUGACAUCAAAUAUUAUUACUGUGGCGAGGUACACAAACUCCUAUGCAAAACAGUUGUGUAACAUUUUAACCAUUAAGUCAUCCCAAAUUAAGCUUUUCAUAUACAGGACCCUGUCUACUUCCAUGCAAAAUAAUGGGGAAAAAGUUCUUGAAUCCUAACAACUUAGAGAAGCUAAAAGUUGAUUACAUAUGCAUUUGGGUACUUCCACAGGAUGACCAUAUCCACCUACUAAGAUUUUAAACAGAUGGUUAUUUGUCCUUUUCUGAUUUCUUUGAGUAGAGUAACAACAUCAGCUUGCAACUUCCUUCCCAAAAAAAAAAGGAAACAAAAAUUCACUUCUUAAGGUUAAACAACAUAAAUAAUAAGGAAACCUAAUACAUUUAUUCCAAGGAUAUAAGUAUGUAAUGCCACAGGAGUAUAAACAUUUCCCACAGUGAGCACUCAAAGACGGAACUUGCCAAAAACAACCAGUGUCAAAAUCAGCUAAGUAGCCAGCGAGUACUAGCGCUACUUCAGAUUUCUCUAAACCACAUAAGGCCUAGAAAUAGUGAAGAUUUGAUCCUGUUAUGUAGAACCGUCAAAAAUAAUCAUAGCAAACAAUCAUUGUCUGUCAAUGCAAUGAGAAGGCAGAUCACAUAGGCUGCACUUGAAUUUAAUUAGGACACCACAUGUCAUUCUUACAUGUGACAGCUGAAGCUCGAUAUACACCAAAAUAGAUGGCAAAUGUGACCUUGCAGAAAGGCAUUCCACCUCACUGAUAGCUCCCAACAAUCACACCAAUACUAUGAAAGCACAAAAAAAAAAAGGUAGGAGUGGCUAAAGCAAAUCAAUGAUUUGAAUGAAAACCCCUAGAAUCUAGGAAGUUCAUUGUCCUCAUGUAAAAUGACAAAGUACCACAAAAUCCAUGGUAAUAGUAUUGAUAAUUGCAUUCAUUUUAACUUUUGGUAAUGAGAUUGACACAAAAACAAGAACUACUCUCUUCAUAAUUCCGCAGAAAAGGUGUCCAUCAAAUGACUAAACCCAAUGAUUAACUUCCACAACCGAAUCAAAUAUUUCUUAUCAAAUAUUCAUCUCUACUAAUUAACUGACAAACCAAUGAUAUAAACACAACAUGGUCGUUGAGGAAAGCAUGUCAUUUUGCUUGUUGUCCAUAAAGGAAUGUACCAAGCUGUCAGAAGAGAGAGCCAGAAGUCAUGCUGCAGUAGCCUUUCCUUCCCGUUUACAUGUCAGUGAAAUUAAGAGUCAAAGAGGGAGAAAUCAAAUUCCAAAUCCCCCAGAAACCAUGCACCAAACCGAGUAACUAUCAACUUAUCCCAUAAAAAAAAAUUGAAAACUCGCAUUUCCAGCAAAUACCUAGACUGCAGUAAUAACUAACCGCCCCCCCCCCAAGUUUUAUCUCCAUUUACAAACUCAGUCCAGUCCAGCUAACACUAAGCAACAAAAAAUUUUCCGCCACAAAGAAAAAAAUAAACACGCACAACAAAAACUCAGAUUAAAUUAACAAAUCAUCAUACAAGAUAAAAUUAAUACCCAAAUUCAACUGCACUUCAAUCAGUGUAUAACAGAGGCAAAUAUCACCUAGAUUAAAACAGACAAACUGAACAAAUUCUAAGAAAAUCAGAAAAAAUGAAAAAGAGAUAAACCUAUAAAGCUCUUCGAAGCUGAGGCCACUGGCGUUAUGGUUGUAAAUCUCGGUAAUUGCAUGCUCCAGAAUCUUCCAAGUCUUGUCAGCGUAUUUCGGAUCCACCACCACUUUAUGCUUGAACGCCUCUAUCUGGAAAUUCCUCUUCUUCUGAUUACUACUAUUCAUCUUUCCCCAACCUAAUUGAAAUCCCUCUGCCUCUCUCAAUCUAAUAUCUAUACACUUAUAUACAGAUACCUAUGGAAAAUAAAAAACGGAAAAAAAAAAAAGAAUCGAAUCGAAGUUGAAAAAAUUCAGAAUCGAAAAGAAAAGAAAAGAAGGAUUUUAGGUCGUUCGUUCUAUGGGAUUAAACAGAUCGAACGGCUGAGAAAAGUUCUGAUAUAUAAAUUUGGAGAUUAUUAUUUUGGUGAGGGAAAAGGAAUUUUCUGGGGUUUGGGAACUGAAAUGGGGAGAAGCGGAGGAGGGGAAAGAAUUUGGGGCCAAAAAACCGAAGGGAGAAAACUCGAAAACCUUUGGAUGAAGUGGAUUUAUUAUUGUUUGGGGAGUGGGUCCUUGCUCGGGGAUGAGAUUUGGGAAGGAAAGGAAACGAAGAAAGGAGGCGAAGAAUCUUUUUUAACUUACUGGAUGCAAUUUGUCUCUCUCCGAGGAAAGAAAAUGAAAAAAGGAAGAAAAUAACAAAAGAGGGAAUUUACACUGGCACAACAAGUAGGGGAUUAGAAAUCCUAUCGUUUCGGGGAAAAAAAACAAGUAGGGAAUUAGAAGGAUUUAGCAAGGUGACUAAGGCUAGCUACGGUUCAGGUUUGAAUCGAACUGAAUGCAAUGGUUUGUUAAAUCAGAAUAGGAAUAGAAUUUUAGAAAUUGGAAUUUACAUCAUAAUCAUAACUAAAAAUUUAAGUUUAGAUUCAUCAAAUUUUUAAACCAAACUCAGAAUUGGCAUUUACAAUAUGCUCAAGUCGUCUAAAAAAAUAUAUUUGUUUUCUAAACCCAUUCGACUGGUUUAAAAUUCUAUAUUAAUAGUCAACAUUUAAUACCAGUAAUUCCAAUCCGGAGCCAACAACUAGAGUGUUUGGAUAGUGUAUUAUUUGGAAUAAUUACUGUAGCAUUUUUUGUGAUGUGAUGUAUGUGAGAUAAAAAGGUAGUUGGAAAUAUAAAAAGGUGAGUUGAAAAAUGUGUCUAUGAUGCAAGCGAAAUAUUAUUUGGGAUAAUUGAGGUUCCAUUCCACUAGUACGUCUAUAUCUCAUGAUUAAUCUAAAACUAAUCUAAUCUAAUCAACAAUGCACAUAUUGUUUCGCAAAAUUUGUAUCAUUUUUAUCUUUUUCCUUGUACAUGAUAAUAGAAUAAUUUUUUUUGUUUUUUUAAUAUUCAUUGUCAUAUUUUUAGAAUCAGCUUUUAUAACAUCAAGUGUUUGAACGUAACUAAAAGAAUUGAAACCGUAAUUGGAUGAAAUCGGAAUAGUAACUGAAAUCGAAAGUUCAAGAAUUAUAACCGUAACGGUCCUAUAAGGGUUGAUUUAGAUUCCAUCUUUCAAAAGAUUCAAAAUCAUCGAUUUUUAAAAUGGAAUUAGUAAUUCUAGAAUGGCAGUCAUGUCUAAAGAGGAGUAAGAAAAAUAAUUUCUCUUGUUUUUUUCCUUCAAGUUGUCUUGCCUUUUCCGCGUUUGGUGUUUGCUUGCUGGUUUGGGUUUGGUUGGAUUGGGAGUUGGAGGAAGGAAAAGAAAUGGAGGAUAAUUUUUCAUUGGUAUUGUUCGUGGAUUUGGUUUUAGUUAAUUAAACGGAGAAUGUUUGGAGGCCAAACAAAAAGAAACGGUUAAAUGAAUUUGCGCACAUUUAACAAAAGGAGAAGUAGAAUUUGUGCACGUCCGUCAGCCGUCUCUGGAGUUUGUGGACUUUGGACUCUUUUUUUUUCAUUUGCCAUUGUAGCAGACAUUAUUAAUUCAUUUUUAUUUUUCAUACCAAAAUGUUUGAUAUUUGCAUCAAUAUCAUUCAAACUGGGCUCAGAGAAAAAUUGGGUUGGGUUGAGAACUUGACGUUGUCAUCACUAAUCAGACCAAACACAGAGGGUAGUGUUUAUUCUGGUCGGCAAAUUCAGUCGUCCAAGCCCAAACUAUGAGCUGACCAUUGCUAAAACCCGACCCGUUGACCAGCUCUCCACUUCCACUUCGCUUAACCUGUAAGCUGCCAAGCGCGUCAUCCUCAAGCUGACCGCCAGGCUUUUCGGCUCUUCCACGGCUCUCCGCUGUCCUAAGCAGUUGUAGCAUAUAUAUAAGAAAUCAAAAAAUCUACUGGAAAAAGAAGAAGAAGAAGAAACUGAACAACACCAGACUCUUCUUCCACGACAUCAAUAAAUUUCUUAUUUCUCCUUCAAUCUUCGGUAAAACGGCAAUUUUCUUUUCUCGGUCCUCAUUUUUCAUUUCAUUUUCGUCUUUAAUUCAAAUUUUCCUCUAAUUUUCUCCAGCGGCAAUUUAAAAAAAGAAAUGCCUGAAGAUAUAUCCGCUGAACGUCCAUUGUUCGGGGGCGCCAUUUCCAGUACUUUCCCUCUCCGCUUCCAGGUUAAUUAAGUAAUUUCAUUUUUUUCGGGGUUUAUAUUUCUUCUUUUAAAUUUUGAUUUAACUAUCUGUUGAAAUAUUUUAAUUUCUUGCGGGUAAAUUGAUUUUAGGAUGUGAGCAACAUUCGGCAAGUACCUGAUCAUCAGGUUAGUUAAACUAACUCUUUUUUUUUUUUUUUUAAAAUAAUAAGUAAACAGAUUUUGUUCGAACUCUUUUGAUUUUGUAUUGCGUGAAUUAUUGAGUUAAAACGGUGUGAUUAAAAAGGAGGUAUUUGUGGACCCUGCACGAGAUGAGAGCUUGAUUUUUGAGCUUCUGGACUUUAAGGCUGACGUGGCCGACAAUGGAAGUGCCACGUGGUUCCUACAAGACCUUGCCGCUGAACAAAAUGCGGAGGGAGCUACGGUAAUGGCAAACUCUUUUUUUUUUUUUUGGUGUAUUCGCACGCCGCCGGCAGUCUUUUAAUUUCCUUUCUGCUUCGUCAUUCUGUUGAAAGACUUGCUUCCCAAAGAUUUUAAGGAUAUAAGAGUUGCUGAUGCCCUUUUGAUGGUAUCCUUGGUUUGUUACUGUGAUUUCCUUUCGACCAUCCACCAUUUGUUUCUGUCGGUCCCAUUUAUUGUAUCAGUUGUCUACAAAAAUUUCUGAAUUUGCUGUUUUUCUCCACGUGGUAUUUAAUCGUAGUUUAGAAAAUUGGCUUACCUGUGGUUGUCUUAUACUUUCACCACCAUUGGUGGGAUGAACUUGUGUUGUGACUUGUGAGUUAAGCUCAUUGUGCGGGGGUAUGCGUUUCAUUGAAUCUCCUACAAGGAAUCUUCUUCUCUAUUGAACUUCUGGGAAUUUUUGUCUAGUUUUGACGUAUCAUAUGGAUUAAAAAUCAUGAUUUAUUGUUAGCUUCAUAAUGAGAAAAUGGUUGUUACUGGGACCUGUAAAAUGUCUAAUUUCUCUUUGAUUCGUGUGUACAGUCAUUUCUCAAUGUACUUGGGUAUGUAGACGUUUAUCAAAAUUUGUAGGUAUGCCUGAUAGUUUUUGUUAAGAUUGAUUAGUUAUGCUGGAGUCAGAUAUAUCAGCAACAGUAGCUUUAUGAUGGUUAAUUAGCUUUACUUGUGUUUGUUUAAUUUGCUGAAUUUUGUUUCUGUAUAGAGCAUAAUAAAACCGUAAACUAAACUUCUAUCGUCAUAUUUCAUCCAUGAAAAAUGCUUUUGGGUGAUUCUUUGACAAGCAGAACAUAGAAGUUUUCAGUUUUGGCAUUGCUCCCUUGACAUAUUGGGCCUUUUUUAAAAUUUCAUGAACAUCAGAUCAGCAUUUGACAUGAGCAUUGGCUGUCAGUUCAACAUUAUGUUGCGCAUUCUUGAAAAUGCCAUUUUAAGUUUCAUGAGUUGCAAUGACACCCCAUCACCUUGGAAGACAGAAGUAGAUGAUGGGAAAGUAACUAGACAAGAACCAAAUUCAUUUGCAGACCAAUUAAUUCGAGCUUCACCGUGCCAGGCAGAAAUUUUCUCACUAUUCAUUGUUCUUUUAAUCAUGCAGAAUAUUAUAAUUCGGCUCAUGAAAUAAAAAGCUGAUGCUCAUUAUUCUGUUAACUUCUUGUUUCAGGUGAUUGAGCAGUCGGGUGUUUUUCAAGCUGAUGGAUUGCAGUUUGGAGAUAUGCCCACUAUCAUUUCUACUGCUGUUGGCCAAAUGGUAUGCUCUUCUCCAGAUAUAAUGGAUGUGCGUACUCAGUUUACAUGCAUUUUUCCUUGUUAUUUGUCACAUACAACUUGAACAGUAUUGAAUGGUAUGCUGGCACAGGCUUCUCAGCUCAAGUUUAAAUCAAGUAUCUGGAGUGAAAAUGUGUGCGGACCAACUCCUUAUGUUUGUUUACUCUCUCAUUCAUUGUGCUUGCUGUUGAUUUGUAGGCCAUUUCUAAGGGAAGGCAAGGCAGGGGAGCCCAAAACUUAGUAAAGGUAGGUUUGCAUGCUGAUUUUUAGGAGUGCCAUACGUAAUAGUGUGAUCUGAGAAGUGGAACCUGACAAUGUUAUUCACCAGGUGUAUUUGGCAAAUUUGCGCCUUAAGGGUGUUGCAACAGAUGUUCUAAUCACAGCCUAUGAGCCUAUAGUUAUAAAGUAAGUUACAGAACAUGUUACUCAUAUCAAAACUUAUGAGCUUCCGUAUCACCGGGCUGCCCUCUAUUAGAUAUCUAGUUGGUCUUCAAUCAAUCUGUCAUUUUCUUCAAUCAACUGGGCUGCCUUCUAGUAGCCUCUUGAAUUUCAUGUAGUUCAAUUGGUUAUUGAAUCUGUUAGUUCCUGGGUUAUGGAGGGAGUUUUUCUUGCUUUUAUGGUGUACUUUCUCUGGCUAACUGAGCUUUUAUGCUCUGCACUGCUGCUGAUGCAUUUUUUUUCCUCUUCUUUCUUUCUUUUCCAUUUGCUUUUGUAAACGUAGUCCCUUGAGUGAAAGUGCUAUAGCUGUUGGGGCCGGUGUUGCUGUUCCUGCUGCACAGUCUGGAUGCAUGCCAAUGAAUGAGGUUUUUCAACUUGCUGCCACAAGUUUUAAGGUGAAUGAUUGGAGCCUCUUUGGUGCUGCUUCUUGAGAAGUUCUUGGAGGGUCUGUGAUAGCUCGAAAGGAAUGUCAUGCAGAUCAGAUUUCCUAAAUUCUAGCCUUUACCGUGAAAUGGGUCAAUUUGCUUUUUUGGCAGUGCAGGAAAUUUGCUUGUGCUCAUCUUUUAUGUCUGGUCUGACCAUUCAAAUACGAGUUCUAGGUGGAUAUUAGUCUUAGUAGGCUUUGUUGUAGUCAGAAAUCAAUUUGGCAGCGAUUGACUAAUUGUUUUACCUUUUGGCAUUGCAGUUUUUAGUGCCCCAUUCAGAUCUUCGAAUUCGUGCAGGAUACACAUGCUAAUCAGUUCAUUGCACGCAUUCUAAGAUGAAAAAAGGGUAAUUAUAAGCAACAAACCCAGUUGCGCGUCUUCAUUGCUUCUUGUGAAGUACAAUGCUUCGUGCUUGCUGUAGUGCAAACAGAAUAAGAGCUUUAGAGUUUAAAGAUCUACUGAGAUUAUUGUUGUCUCUAGGAGGUGAAAAAAGAGAUGAGGAACGGCAAAGGGAACAUGAUAAAGAAGGAAAAGUGUGGUCAAUAUUGUUCUAGAAAAAGUAAAAACCUUGACUGGGGGAGAACAUGGAACAGGUCUGUACAAGAUUGCUAGGGGAGAAAAAUGAACACAAAAGAAAGACAAGUUAUUUGAUGACUAGAGGAUGACCAUUGUGAUAUUGGCAUCCCUUCAAAGAGUGUAAUGGCCAUGGGCCCAGUUGGACGAAUGAUUUGUUCGAUAUGCUUUUGUGCACCCGUCAAAUGUUGCAUCACCAUCAUCAAAAAGUUUAGCAGUAUGGAGAAAUUGUGAAAUAUGCCAUUGCCGUCCUUUUCUUUUGCCUGCAAAGUUGAGGAAAUCCUCACACAGUGAAUUCGACUUUUUCUCCGCUAAAACAUGAUCUGAUGGAAAAGUAGAAGACAAAGCCAAAGGAGAGACACAGAAUCCGCUGUAUGUGUCAUUUUUCGAUUCAAAUGCAAGAAUUCUACUUGAUGUGAAUUUCUGACGAGAGCCAUCUGUCUAGACUGGCAACAAGUACAAAAAUGACCCCAAAAAAGCUAAUUAGGUGCAGCUUUAAUAUCUCUGGUAGAUUUUUCGGUUGCAAACACGGAGCCCAAGGAAAAUGAGUAUACAUACUGUUGAAAUCCUAUCCGUCAUUUUAAUUUUAGCAAGAGCCAAUUGAUAAUUAUGGCCUAAAAUACUCGAUCAAUAAGAAGAAGAGGGCAGGAGGUUAAUUUGGGAUUAGGCUUAAUUCAUUCAGCAAAAGUCAUUACUGGAGUUGGAAAAAAAAAAAUAAGAAGAAGAGGGCAGGGUCUUCCAUCUCAUAUUUUAGCUGACUAGCUGAGUUAUUGGUCCUUUUGCAGUUGCAAGUGUCAUUCAGCAGCAUGCAAUUGCCCCCACCAUAAUGUUGCUCGCACAAUUCUAGUUCCUAAAUCUGGACUUUUGGGGUUCUCAUGCUGUCCUCACUUUUCUCAAUUUCUUCGUGUUUAUACUCUGUAAUGUACUGCAUACCCUAUAGAUAGUGACGUAAAAUUUCCUAUUAUCCCAAAAGUACGCCCACUUUGGCACGUAAACUACUUAAUUGUGGACUUAGUGUACUAUAAUCUUUCAUUUAUUAGGUCGAUUCAAGAACUGCGAAUGGAAUUUCCUGUGGCUUGGACUUCGUUUCACAAGAAAAAAGCAGCAUGGAAUUUAUUCCUGCCUACAAAUUCUGACCUUCCACCAAAGAAUUAGCACUGUACAUUAAUUUCGGCUAAAAUCUUCCACCUCUGGUCCAACAUUAGAACACCUACAGCACCCCAAAGAAGAGAACAAAAAACAUUAGGACGCCUAGAUUGCUAAUCGCCGAGUCAUAUUUGAAGUGACUUCGUAAAUUUCUUGAAAAAUGCCGGAGUCCCAUUUGUUAUUUAGCUACUCAGCAAGUCAGCGAUCAGCACUAGGAAAAAACUUUAUCAAAGCCAGUUGGAAAAAUUCAAAGCAACUAUACCUGAUUGGAACAGCCAUAAUUAACCAACCUCCAUGCCUGUUCUGACUUUGCCGACUAAUUUUUUGCAUUGAAAAAAGUAGAUAAGAAUAAUCUGCAAAGAGGUAACGAUAGAUAAUGUAUUAAUGUCCCCCCACUUUAUCACCCUAACCGUCAAAUUCAGGUGAUACGAACAUUGCUCUAGAGUGAUUCGAGUAAACCAUUUUCAGCAAAGAAAGAGAUGAAGGCGGCAACUAGUAGAGGGACGAACGAUCAUAUUUGCCAGUAGGGAGGCUAGAAACUAAACCAGAUGAAACACACAUGUAUUUAAUUUGCUCUGUGAAUCAGUUAAGUUCGAGUUGUACCCUCACAAACUUUAAAGAUAUCUCCCAAAACAAAAAAUUCCCUUUCACCCUUUGCCCAAAAGAUAACCAUUUCUCUUUUUUCCAGCUUCAAUUUCUAUUCAAAGGUUGGGCGGCAGAACACGGAGAAACUCCACUCAAUAAUUGAACUGAUGAUGAUACAAGCGAUGCAUUCGUUCAAGUGGGUGUUCUUGAAUUUGAAGCAUUAUUGCAGCUGUUGAAGUCUUGAAGAUAACGAACUGACAGGUUAAAGAAUGUUCUAUGGCGGUGUGUUAUGGGCAUAGCGGACUUGCUAUGCUGACCUUGACAUAUGUGAAUGUGAACCGGACCAGACUUUCAGCAACCUUAAUUAAUAUCAUCAUAGACGCGGAAAAACAAUUGUCUCUGUCAGCAAUUUCUUUUCUUUAUUCGUAUAUGACAAUUGUAGCAUUUUUUUUUAAUAUGAAAGGAUGCCCCAGAAUUAAAUUGUUUUGACGGCUUUUCAUAAUAUACAAUAUUUUGAAUUAGCGUUAAAAACCAUAUAUUGAAAUUGGUUAGUAAAUAUACAAGGACAAGUAACAAACUUUUCAAUCUUCAACUAUAACAAUCAUAUUCUCAUAGUUUUUGUGAUAGAUUUAUAGUUGUACUUCUUAAACCAAAGUUUAUAACAUUGUGAUACUUUUCUGUGAUAUGAUAUGUGUGCGAUAAAAAAUGUAUUUACGAUACAAUUAUAUUAUUAUUUUUUUUUCAAAUGUUGUAUUCAAACACAGUCUCGCAUCCUUAGACUCCAAUAAUUGAUUCAGAUUUUCCAACGAAAAAAAGGGGAAAAAAAAAAAAAAAACUCUUGCAUGCACGGACACUAUCAAUGCUAUAUGAGCAUUGUCAAAAUCAGGGUGGAUAAAUCUUAAUGAUAUGGAACAAAUUAGUGGUUGUGGUUGCCGAGCGUGGCGAUGGAUGGAAAUUUGACAGGGAAGGAUCGUAUGCAUCAACGGACUUUAACAGGCGCCAGUCAAUCUCGCGCAAAUUAGGAAUUUGAAAUUUGUGCACUUGGUUGGUGCAAGAAACCUAUCGUACCAUUGUCCGAUUCAUAUGUACUACCUUAUAUUUUUCCAGGUACCAUCAAAUCCAUUGCCAUAUCAAAUUAAUGAUACUAAUUGGACUUGUGCCACGACUCGGCCCAUAUCCUCCUAUUAAACUUAAAAUACUAGUGCAAUUGGCAAAUAUUUAGAAUAUUUCUCUACGGGUUCAAGAUAAUUCUUUUGAUGGCAUACACGCAAGAUUAAAAGUAAAAAAAAAAAAAAAAAAGAUUGAAAAAAAAUGUAUGAUGCCUAUUUGUCCAAAUGGAAUAGCAUGACUUAAUUGAUUUCUUGAGGGAGGUGAAAUAGUAGUGAAUGAUGGGAUAGAGGUCAAUUUUUGUAAUAAUUCGUUAAUUACAAGGAAAAAAGAAACUAAAGAAAAACUAAUCCGAUGAAGAUUAUCAGCAUGUGACAUGACAUAUCUAAUCCGGUGGUUGUUGUAGUGUCCACAAUCGGAAUGGAAUGGCAUGAGUCACUUGAAUGAUUUCUUGAGGGAGCUGAAAUAGUGAAUGAUGGGAUAGAGGUUAAUUGUUGUCAUUCGUUUAAUUACAAAGAAAAAUUAAGCUAAUGAAAAACUAAUCCGACGACGAUUAUUAGCAUGUGACAUGACAUAUCUAAUCCGGUGGUGGUUGUGGGGCUCAUAAUCGGAAUUGCAUGGAAUAGGAAACUUGGCUUUCAAACAUCAAACAUAACCAACGCUAGGAUCAUUACAAUUCAGUUGACAAACACGAGUCAAAUGUACAUCCUAAUUGGUACUAUUAUCAAUUUAAUUAUGUCCGAAAUUCAUGGUGGAUGCAUUGCUUAACGUACAUAAUAUUUACCUAAUCUAACAAUUAUUAUCCUUUCUUGCAUUUAUAUAUUUUUCCUAUUUAAUCUUACCUAUCCUCCUUAUAUUUAUUUACUUUCCCUAAUUAAUAUUACAUUUCCAAAAUAUGACACCUAAAAAAUUAGAUGGUAUAUAUGGCUUUGUUUGGAUUUCUCAAUUUUUGAAAAACAAGUUUUUUUUUUUAUAUACAAUGCUACAAUGAUAUACAAACAAAAACAACUCUAAAAAUACCACAUCCAUACAAUAUAUCAAAAACAACUCCAAAUAUACAAAGAAAAAUACACCACCACCACUACUAUCCAUCACUCUCCACCACCACCGCCACCACCCCACCCCCACCCCCACUACUCUCCCUUCUCUCUCCUCUCUCCCCCCAUCUUUCCUUCUCCUGCUCAUUUCUUCCUCUUCUUCUCCUUCUUUCCAUCCCUUUCCCCGCCCCUCAAUUCCCCUUCCCCUUCAUUGACCGCAACCCUCCUGGUUGUGAGUCUUGUAACCAAAUUUGAUCCCCACCAGAAAGGUCGUAGCUAGAGUCGCAGUUACCACUCGCGAGUGGGAGAGGGGUUUGGGGUUGGGGGAAAGAAAGGGAGAGGAAAGAGGGAUGAGGAGGAAGAGGGAUAGGAAAGAGAGGGGAGGGGAGAAGGAGAGGAAGAGAAAGGAGAGAGAAGUAGGAGGAGGGAGGGGGUAGUGGUGGGUAGUGUAAAAUUUCAAACAAAUCCUCCAAAAAAGUUAUAAAUUAUAAAAAAUAUCCCAAAACAUAUUUUAAAAAUACCUCUAAAGAGUAAAGACAAUCCAAAAAAUAUUUACAAUAAAAGUUUUUCAUAUACACAAUUACAGUAAAAUUUUUGAAAAACACCUCAAAAAAUAGCUAAUCCAAAUAGAUCCUAUGUUAUUUUUGAACUGUAUACACUUUUAAAGUAUUUUUACUUUAGCUAUUCACUGUAUGUUCAGAAAAAUAUCCAUGAAUGCCUAUUGAAUAUCCAAACUCACGAGAAUUCGGGUUUGGGUUUUCUUUUUCAAAAUCAUAAGGGUCUAAGUCUGGAUCUGAAUUUGAAUGAAAGAAAUCUAUCCUAGAUACUACUCAUGAGAAUCCGGGUUUGGGUUUAUUUUUUCAAACCAACAAAGUAUAGGUCUGAAUUUGGGUCUAAUUAAAUUUAGUGGGUCUGAAUUUGAAUAAAAGAAAUCUAACCCAGAUUACUCAAUAACAUGCUUGCAUGCCUACGUACAAUAUGGACUACAAUUGUGGCUUACAAUUGUAAGGGCUCCUCAUCUAUACGUACAUUACAGAAUUCAUUAUGUGAAGUUGUCAGCUCACCCACCGGUUUCGCCAGAGAGGACAGAGAAUGAAUUUUCAUUGAUGAGCUGGAGAUGACUGCCCGCAAAUGACAAAACCCUCAAAUCUAAAUAAUUGAAAGGCAUGUGUGAGAAAUUAGCAGUCCUCAUUUGUUUCUUUCUCCUUCCUUCUUUUUUUUUUUUUUUUUUUUUGCAUUUUCAUGAAAAGAAAAAAUCAAGAAGUUUUUUGGAUUGUAAAUUAUUUGAGAUAAUUUUGUGAAAAUGUAUUGUAACAUUUUUUUGAUAUGAUGUAUGUGAGAUAAAAAGGUAAUUAGAAAAUGUGUUGAUGAAACAAGCAAAUCAGUGUUUGUAAAUAAGGUGUAAAUAAAGUGAAAUAGAAGACAAUCCAAACACAUUCAUAUAUAUAUAUAUAUAUAUUCUUUCUCGAACAUUAUAAGUUAAGUUGCUUCUACAUUUCUGUUAUUUGGAAUUGUAAUAGCAUAAACUGAAAGCUUCAAAAAAAAAAAAAAAAGGCCUGAAAGCUUAAAGAAAGUGCACCAAGACACAUUAUGAUGCUACUUGUUAAAGCAAUAAGACUGCUUUAACAAAUCCAAAUUUAUCUGCUCAUAUAGCCUCCCAACUUUCCGACCUGUCAUUCCUUCAUUUGCUCUUGCUCCUGCUCCUUUUUUUCUUGUUCCCCGUGGUGGGUCAAAUAACUGACAAGCUUAUAGGAUAAACUUGUUUGGAAGAUCGCACUAAUGCCAAGUUGUUUGGAACGAGAGAAAUGAUUUAACCAACUGAAAAUGAGUUGUGAGGACAACCAUUCAAAAUUAAUUUGCUGUCAAGCAUUCCAAAAAUCAGUCUGAGUUUCUAUCUAGUAGUAUUUCUUUUUCUUUUUCUGUUUUCCAAUUUGAGGGCCUUAAAUUUUGUACUUACACAAGAGUAAACCGCGUAAAUUCAUAAAAGCAUGUCACAGCUCCCUUUUUUUUUCCUAGAGCAAUUAAUAUGUUGAUUGAAAUGUUAUCUCUGCGCUAGAAUCAUGCAUGUAUUUUCUAUCAUAACAAAAUCCGGAUGGAGGGAAGACACAGUGUUGGACGUCAAGGCAUAGACAAAAAAUUUUAAUAACUUCAUCCCCUUUUUUCUAUUUUGUUCUUUUCCUCUUGCGUGAAAUUUAGACCAAUUAACGUCCACCAGAUUAUUCGAAAAAGGAGAAAGCCAUUCUUCUAGCAGUGAUUGUUGACUUUCAUGUAUAGUCGUACUAAUUGAGCACAAGGUCUCAAGAAAAGAAAACUAAACUUCGAGAGGAGCGAGUUGCUUGACCUUUGAAGUGCGAAUAACCUCCAAAAUUCCGACAAAUUUGUUUGGAUGAUUGGCAAUGGCAGAUGGAGAUGGUAUGCGAUGGCUGGUAAGCCAUCUUGAUCAAACACAGUAUGAGGAGGUGGCAUAGCACGUGAUUUCUCUCAACAGGCAUCGUGAUUUCGUCACCCAAACCUAAUUCCAUGGCCCAUCUCUUGAUCACAGGAAGCUGUGAGAAUGUAAUUGACUCAAUCUUGAAGUUGCUACAUGGACUCCUUUGGGCCAUGUUUCUUGUUACGGUUAGGUUGAAUUAUGCAGUGUGAAAGCUUUUCUUUCAUACGUACAUUGAAUUAUGGAAUUGCAUGCAAUUCUUGAGAGUACCAGUAAUUCACAAAAAGAAGAUCUGUGAAAAUACACAUGUGGUGUAAGACAACCGGUACAUUUUUCGUUUGAAAAAGGUGAGGUUAUCGUUUUCAUUUGUGAAGGGUCCUUAGCUUUUGUAGUUUUUACAAAAUUUUUAGGCAAAUUGGAAGUCAUGCAUGCUAACUUUUUAAUCAAAUGCUGUCUUGACGACCAUCACGGUGUAUUCAUCAAGUGUGGUUUCAUCUACCACAUCUCACCAGGGGGAAAAAAAGGAGCAAAGAAAAGAAAAAAUACACGAAACAUCAGAGUGGAUUGAGCUUUGUUUUCUUAUUCAAUUGAAUACUUUUACUCUCCAUAAAAAUAUGAUAAAUGUCCAAUCAUGGUUUUUAUUUCCCCUCCCUAACCAGCUAAACAUGCAUGCAUCUACAGCGGCAAAUUAAUUAUCCCCUUAAAUGUUUGAUUUGCUUGACUUUUGAGUGUUAUUUUUUGCAAAAAACUUCUCUGGUUUGAGAAUGCAUGCAUGUAGGCAAGAGCCAAGGGGUCCUAUGUUGAAGAAAAGCGUGUUGGUGUACUUUUACCACCAUUACACAGGUAUUCAUUCAUUCAGGCUGAAACAAAAGCAAGCCAAAAGAAAGGUUGAGACCAGGUGUUUCUUGCUAGGGCUUCUAGCUCCUGUACCCUGACUGCAUAUCUCGUUUGAAAAGAAAAUUUGAAGUUUUAACGUGGGGUUCUUUUUGUUGAUUUUUUUUUCAUUCUGAGUUAAAAUUGAAACCAAAAUCGAUUUGGGAGAGAAAGGCAAACAGGCAAUCAUUGCAUCAAACAUAUGGGGAGCCGCUUUAUCAUCUUUUCGUUCUCUCUCUUUUCUUUAAUUUCUUCUUCUUCUUCUUUUUUUGGGGGUGGGGGGGAGGGGGAGUGGUGUUUGGGGACUGGGGAAUAAAAAUCCAUGCUUCAGUAUUUUGUAUUGUGGGGUUGGGUCCCUUACCUCCAGCUCCCCACUGUCUCCAUGCAUAGAUCCAAUUGAAUGAUAAAGAACACCACACGUGGAGUCUGAAUCAAGGGACUGUCCAACCACAAUAAAAAGACUUACCCCGGUUACAAAUCAAGUUUCUGAAAAAAGAAAAAUCUAGUCGUAAAAAUUUCAAAAUUUACAUUAACCUCGCAAUAGAAAAUUCUUUUCCAGUUAUACUGCUUUCCAAUAUUAUAUCCAACAAAUAAUAAUCAAAGAAAAAUUUUCCCAUAUGAUCCCACUCCCCAUAUAAUUCCCACUCAUUGUGUUUGUUGCUUAAAGCUUGCACUCACUCUUCCCUUAUCCCAUAUCUUUCUUUUCCUCUUUCCCUUUCUCUCUCAAAAAAAGAAACCAAGAAAACCAGCUACCAGCUCCAUCUGAAAGAUGCUAGUGAUAUGCUAGCUAGCAAUAGCUUAGGGAGAAAUGGAUAAAUAGUUUUUCUUUAUUCAACGAAAAGUAGUAAAAGAAAAGAGGGAAGCGAGAGCCCACAAAGGGGCUCAACUCAAUUGAGGGUCAUCCAAAGCUAGAUAGAUGUACUACUAGCCCUUUAGCCAAAGAAUAUAGUAUUUCUUUUACUAGUAUAUGAGCAUGGAUGCUGAUAAUGCUCAUCUUGUUGUUAAUGCAAUUCGCAGGUCAAAUUUCCCACUUCAACUCCUAGAGAAAAGAGAUCUUCAUCAGCCAUCUAAUUGCUCUACCUCCAUCUAUCCCACCUUAGCCAUCGGUUCCAAUUCUACUACUUCUACUACUCCGGUUGAUGCUGCUGAAACCAGUGGUGCAGAUCGGCUCGAGGCAGCAGCUAACAAGAAGACUCAGCCUAAAAGAACUUCAACAAAAGAUAGGCAUACUAAGGUAGAGGGCCGUGGCCGACGGAUCCGCAUGCCAGCUACUUGUGCUGCAAGAGUUUUUCAGCUUACUAAAGAAUUAGGCCACAAGUCCGAUGGUGAAACAAUUGAAUGGUUGCUACAACAAGCCGAGCCAGCAGUUAUUGCCGCCACGGGGACUGGAACCAUCCCGGCCAAUUUCACUUCCCUUAACAUUUCUCUGCGGAGCUCAGGCUCGAGUAUAUCAGCUCCUUUGAUCAGGAAUUCUUACUUGAAUCAAAAUCUUGGGAUCUCCCAGUUGAGAGCUAUGGAAGAGUCGCACUCACAACAACAACGGCGGAUUUUUUACCCUGGGGUUAGUUUAUCCUCAGCUGAGAAUAAUAAUUCAUCGAUGUCAUUCAAUUUUCCCAGUGAAAGUAUGAAUGUGAAUGAUAUGUUACAUGCUAAGCAAGAGGUGCGUGAUCAAGCCGCUUGUCUUGAUGUGUCCGAUAGGAGGAUCAAAAGGAGGCCUGAUGAGGAAGAUCUGACAUGUUUGCAAAAUCAUAUUGGAAAUUAUAUGGUACAAUCGAGUUCAGGUUCCAUUGCUGCUAGUCAUCAAGGUCAAGUGCAGGCGGCUGCGUUUUUGAUGGUGACAAAUAAUCCUAGUAAUACUAGUACUAGCCAAUUGAUUAGGGGCCCUGAUUCUUUAUGGACAUUCCCCAGUAGUAUGACUGGAACUAAUCACAACUUAUUGCAUAGAGGUGGAGGAGCUUCAAUGUCUAGCAACGGACUACAUUUCAUGAAUUUUCCUACCUCAAUGGCCUUAUUGCCCGGUGUACAUGGGGCAAAUAAUGGUGGAGGAAGUUCUGGCGUGUUUGAAGGACAAUCAGGCAUGAUUGCCGGUUUAAACAGUUUAAGGCCGGCUGUCCCAGGUGGUGGAGCUUCUGAAGCUAAUCUUCAUCUCGGAGGAGAAGAAGAUUGGCAUGAUGCAACUACUAGUACUACUACUCACCACUCCUAGCUAAAUCAACCAAGUUUACUGCUUUAAUUAAUUUCUUGCUUUUUUUUUUUCUGUUACCCCUUCUUUUUGUGUACUAAUAUCGAUGCGUAUCAUCUAGGAUAGUCGAGACAUUAGGUCCCAGAUCGACACUCUUUGAAAGUUGACUUUGAUCUGUUGCUUGAUGCUGAGUAUUAAAUAGUAGUAAUAGUAUUAGGGUUUCCUGGGGAAAUUUUGAAGAGUUUAAGAGUGAAAUCUACUGCUGUUUGCCAAGGUCUCCUUUGGAGAAAAACUAUGGAGUGUCUUUUUCAGGCAUUACAUAUGUAAAUAUGCUGAUAUUUUCAAAAUAACACACAAAUGAUCAUGCUUUGCUUUCAAGUAACUACAGUUUGCAUGCAAUCAUUCGUUGUUAUGCGUAAUGUUCCUAAUAAACCUCUAAUUGAUGAAUCUGUUUCAAUAGUGUGAAGGAGCACUAUAUAUGUUUUACGGGUCAGAAACAUGAAUCGCUUUAUUGAUUCUAUUUACAUCACGCUAUAGUACUUACAACAAUCAUGGUACAACAUUGUAAUUAAGGUUCCAUCCGUAAGAGAAAAUGGUCCAAACCACAUACCCUAAGACGAGGGAGGGAGCCCACAUUUCUGAGCAUCAGCCUUUCAGGUUAGCUUUCAUGUCAUCACCAAUGAACCCUAGCUAUACUGAUCAUAUUGCCCAAAACUCGCAUCAGUUUAUCAAGUACUAGCGGAAUCAUUAUUCCUCUUUCUCAUAUAAAGUGGCUGCAGCCAGCGAAGAUGGUGCGUUUUAGUGACCCUACCACACAUGUCUGACCAACUUAAAGAUCUGGAUCGUACGUUGAUCAACUAAAUGCAUCUCUGUAUUAUAAUCUCUUGAUCAAUAACGUGGUUUUUUUUUUUUUGGAUGAAAAUGGACAUGGAUUGGAGUUGCUUGUGCUAUCGCUGGACUUUGUCUGUUGAAAUAUCGAUUCCUAGCUACUUAAUUGCCAUUUCUUCAAGAGCAUGCAUGUUGUCUGAGUUGUUGUUAGUUUCAUGUAAACCAGAUCUAUUCAACAUCUCUCCAGAAUGGCAAAAUAUUCUUUUAUCACCAUUCCUUCAUUUUUAUUUUUUUGCAUCACUUUUUCUCCUGCUGUUGAGUUGAUUACUUUUUUGGAAAAAUUAAGAAGAUAUCGGCCAAAUGAUUUUCUUGACAAUUUUUAUGCACUUUGCCUAAGUACCUCUGAGUAGUAAAAAUCAUUUUAAUGAUGAAAUAUCAAAUCCAUGUUAAUUUUUUUUUUUUUUGGUGAAAUUUGUUGGCCCUAGUCUUAGUUUUCAAGGGGUGCUGGGAAAGUUUCUCUAGCAAAAAGAAUGAUUGUAUUUGCAUGAAAAUAUAUUGGAGUAACUUAAAAUCUGUCCUGGAAUUGAUUUAAUGCUUACUUAUUUCAGUCAAGGUUAAAUUACUCAACUGCAGUGAUUCACUAUAGCGAAACUUGUUGCAUCAUUCAUGCCUAUAUGAGCAACCUGUGAAAGGAAACAAUCAAAUAUUCAUCUUCUGACUUCCAGGGAAAUAUAUGGCUACAUUUCUAAGAUUCUUUUCUGCCAACAGUGCAAGUAUAACCACUUAUAUUGUGUUACUGUAUGGUUGCUGUAAUCAUGAUCCACCAUGUCGUUUGGAGUUCAUUUGUGGAAAUAUUUGAAAUGGUCAUAAGAGAAGAAAUGCAUCAUUUUGUAUCAAUGAAAGGAAGAUAAAGCAAGCUAACUCCCCAGGAAACUCACUAAGGCAAGGGUAAAUAGAGCUGUGCAGUUCAUGUUCCCUGCGGGGGAUUUUCAGUUUCCUCUCUCUUUUAAGAUCUUGCAAAUGGAUGUAAUCUCCUUACAGGAAGGCCAUUUGCUUUGAGUUCAGCAAAAAUCUAAGAAACUAGAGAGUAGUUUGAGUUACGCAUAUUGUGGUACUCCUCAUGCAUCCAUUUCCUUACCAAUGCUUUCUGUUUUGUACGAAUUGGCAAGAUUAAUUACUAGCAACUUUCGCACAUGGUCUCUUAAUCUGUCACACCUUUAAGAUACAUAUAUAUAUAUAUGUUGAGGUUGUGAUACUUUAAACUUUAGUUUCAGAAAAUCUGGUAUUAAUGUUAUAUAAGCAUGUUAGUUGAACCAUUUAGUAGAAAAUCACUCAAAUUUGGACAAGAAAUCGUAGUUGAAUAUCAAACAUUGCGGGAAUGAAAGGAUGGAAAUUAAUUUCAUUUGGACACUUGAUGAUGCUUUAUCUAGCUAGCCACCAAAAGGCUAAUAAAGGUGACGUUAAUCACAUUUCAAAACUCUGUGAGCAGUUGUGCUUUUCGCUUUUCAUUCAGUAGUUUUGAUUCUUACAAUCCUCUAGUUAUUCCUAUGCUUCUUACUUCCCCUCUCCUUUUAAUACACAUCCGAUUGAGUACUUCUCAAAGAUUAAAGUUGUGGGUAUGAAACCACAAAAUCAUCACAAUUUAAGCAUUCCAAAAAUAGUUCUUUGACUAUAGCAAGAAAUUCACACUAUGUGCCCCUCCCUCCCGCCCUACUGUAGCAAGACAUCUGUUUUUCUUGAUUGCAGAUGACCGCCAAUUAAAUCAAAUUGAUGAAUGUGUAAUGUGCCUACUUAGAUUUGCCCAACCAGCGACCAGGAUAUGUUGUGCUCAACAUUUAUCAAAUAUUUUAUUCAUGUAUAUUACUUUUACCUUAUAAUAUAAUAUAAUUGUACACUAAAUAACGUAAAUAGGACAACAACCGAGUCGAAUCGUAUCAGACCUCAAUUGCAUUAGCCCAUCUCCCCCCAACCAAAACCAAAUGCGAUAAUAGAACUAUUGCUACAAGGAACAUUAAAUAAAUUAAUGCUUCCAAAAUUUAUUGAUUGGUUGAAAAGAUAACUAUUACUGCAAGGAAAUUACUACUUCCAAAAUUUAUUGAUUGGUUGAAAGGAUAACUAUUUUUUUUUUGUCACAAUAAAUUAUAUUCUACACCUACUCUUACUCUGCACUAAGGGAAAUGGGUGAACCCGAGGGGGUCAAUAGGAAAUUCGGAGGGAAUUGAACCAUCACCGGAUUAGACGGGUGCCUUUGCACUAGCCGGUGAAAUUUCCAAGAAAUUUUACAAGGUAAAGAUAACUAUUGCUACAAGGAAGAUUAAAUAACUUAUUGCUUCCAAAAUUUAUUGAUUGGUUGAAAAGAUAACUACUGCUGUUAGACUGAGAUAUGGUGUAGUAAGGCGUACGUUCCCGCAAUUUUUUGUUUUGUGUUUCCACGCUGAUUGGAAAUGCAGAAACGAACAACUACAAGCUCCUUUUCUACAGUGAUAAAUAAUGCAAUCGAUUUCACACCAACAAUGACAAAUGCAAGAACGUUUCUAAAUUGUUUGCAAACGAUCUUGACAGUUGACAUAACAUAUCAGAGUACAGUUCAAUUAUUUCUACUAUAUCAAAAGGACUAGGCGAUGCAUGCAUGGAUGAUUAAUCCUAGGACUAGCACUACAUUGUUCUUGUUCCGAGAGACCACUGAUCUUGUCGGUAUCAUACAGUGCAAGUUUUCGCACCGAAAUGUAACUUUUUUUUAACACAAGAAGAAACUCUAAUCUUACCAAAAGAAAGAAGGAAAGAGGGAGUCGAACCAUUCAAAUUUUUUCCUUAUCAAGAGAGAGAAGAGAAAUUAACUAAUGUCUCUACUAUUAUAUGUUUUGGUUUUGUUUUGUUAAAGCAAAACCCAAUGCAACGCAGCUUAUAUUUCUUCUUAGACACAAAUGAAACAACUUUUCAAAGAAAGACACAAAUGAAACUGAGUUAUAUGUCUUUUUGGAACAACAUGGUCAAUUUCUUGCACAAAAUUAAGAAAAAAGAAUUAAAUGGCGAAUAAUGUGAUUCAAUCUUAAUGAGAUAAUAUAGGCAAUAAAUCACAUGCUAUUUUUUUUUCUCAUCAUUGAAAGCUCUCCUUUUUCUUCACUAUUCCCUGCCGCGUUUUCGGGAGUCAAAAGUAGUACAGGAAACUGGGAAAGUCAAUAGAGCGGAGAUCCAAUGCACCCCACUUUCGUCAACAAUACCAUCCUUUUAAUCUAAAAGCCAAUAAGAUUCAGACCGAGUCCCAUGUCUCGGACCUUAAAGUAAUACUUUGUCCUGCGCUUGACUGUCUAGCUCGAAUAUGAUUGGCCAUUGUAAUUUGGAUGCAUCAACCAGCAAUAUAGCAGCUAAUGGAAAAAAAGAGAGAAGAUUUUUCGGUGCCUCUUUCUUCGUGAAGCAUAAAGAUGUCCUAUGUCCAAGUGCCCAUGUCCUAGAAGAAAUUUCGAGGCUUCUUGGUUGCAAAUUUCAAUCACCUUUCCAUACUUUCUAGAAAAUUGUCCUUUUCUGCAACACUUUCCUUUUCUCUUUCUUUUCUAAUUUUUAGUAUUACUUGUUUGUAUAACACUUUCCUUGACUCAAUGCAAAACACAUUCCUUGGGUUUCUGUCACGCUGUCCUAGAGAAGAAACUGAAGAAAACAGGAAGUGGUUUCUGCUUGUUCUAAAAUCUUGCAGGACCCCGGGAACAAAACAGGCAGAGAUUGCAAUUCUACUCCCAGAAAAAAAAUGGGUAAUUCUGGGAAUAAUCUUCUUGCUGUGAUGGCCAAGAACAUUGAUGUUAUAGCUAUGUAAGAAUGUAGUAGUAAUUUAUUUUUCUUCAAGUUCUAAUUUCUUUUUGCCUCGGUUCUUUUUGUAACGCUACUUGCAUUACAAUGUGAUUGUUGCUGCAUGCUUCUAUAUCACGGUAAUAUUUUUCUACUAAAAGCUGAAACCAAGAUUUGAUUUUUCUUCUCAAAUAGUUCCUUUUUUUUUUUUGCUAACUAAAAUCUGUUUGUUCCUUUUUCAGGCCUGUGAUUUCUCUCGUGUAUCCUCUGUAAGUCUCUGUCCUUUUGUCAAAAAGUUUGGAUCUUUCGUGAUUAUUUGUUGCAUAGUACUUCACAUUGCAAAUCUUUGAGGAAGAGGAAAGAAUUGCAAAAUCACUGCUUAGUUUGUUGCUUAAUAGUACAGCUAUAUUGAUCAAAUAAGGUAGGUUAAUGCCGGUGUUUAGAUUGUCCCAGUAAAUUUUUCCUUCUGAUGUUAUUUGAGAAUGGAUAUUCUGCUUUUAUGGUAGGAGGGAAAAUUAGAGACCCUUUACCUCUCUGCUCCCAAAAGGCAUUUGAAAUCAGAGUAAAAGUAACAUUGAGGGUUGGUGGGCUUGAUGGCUGUUACAUGUUUAUGUUUGAAGGAUAUCUUUAUUUGGUAUUAUGUGUAUUUGUUGCAUGGUUCAUAGGAUGGUAAAUGACAAUCUAACCUUGUCAUUGUGAUGUUGACAGGUACGCUUCUAUUAGGGCCAUAGAGACUAAAUCUCGUGCUGAUGACAGGCAGUGGUUAACUUAUUGGGUUCUUUAUUCUCUAAUUACUCUGUUCGAGCUUACAUUUUUCAAAGUUCUUGAGUGGUAAGUGUGCUGCAAACUCGAGUUUCUUACAUCUCUUAUACUGCUAAAUUAUGGUGAAUCGGCCUUGGACUGGCUGAACCUGCUGCCAAAUGCUUGAAGCUACUAGAACAUGAUCCACUUCACCGAAGUUACUUAUUUCCUAUUUUCAUUGCCUGGACCAGUCAUUUCCAAUAUUUCAGUCUCAUCACCUUGUUUUGUUCAUCACAUAUACAGGGCUGAAGUCCAACAAUAGCACUUCCUCUCAGUUACCAAGUGCAUAAUGCAAUUACAUCAGAUUAAGUAAAAUACAGUUGACAGGGGAACUAAUACCAAAUUUAUUUAUUUAUUUAUCAUGAGAUUACUACCUUUAUAUAGCUCAUUAGAAGCAAGUAUUAUGAGAAUAUUCAUGAUUUUACCACCUUAAAGCAUCAACGCCACGUAGACGUGUAACCAGUGUAAAAUGGAGGAACUGAGUUACAAUGGACAAAAUAUUUCAGCCUAAAUUGAGGAGCUUCUUUUUGUGCUUCAUCGCGUGCAUAUCCAUCGAUUCUUCGAUAUAAAAGCACAUUUCAUCCCACUGUAAAGACUGACGAGAUCACUCUUUGCGUGAAUGAUGUUUUAACUUGAUAUUUUCUGUCCUCUCAUUUAUCCUUAGAGAGUACAUGAGAGAAGUUUACAAAGUGAAUAACUUUUUGGCUAAAAAAAAGUUGAAAGCUGAGAGGAAUUUCCCCCCCUUUACAUCCUUAAUUUUGGUUUGCUUUGCCAUAAAAGAAUUGCCUGUGUGCUGCUGUAAGAAUGUGCUCAUGCAUGUCUGGAUAAAGUAUGUUGCUGUUGACCUGCCCUUACUAUUUGAUUUUCUUGUUGGCAUAAGGUUACCCAUUUGGCCCUAUGCGAAACUGAUUGGUAUAUGCUGGCUAGUCCUACCUCAGUUCAACGGAGCAGCUUAUGUUUAUGAGCAUUUCAUUAGACCUUUCUACAGGAAUCCACAAGUUAAGAUCUGGUAUGUACCUCGAAAGAAGGAUGUUUUCAGUAAACCAGAUGAUGUCCUUACUGCUGCAGAAAAAUACAUUGAAGAAAAUGGACCAGAAGCCUUUGAGAGAAUGAUAGCCAGGGUACGCUAAGCUCUGUCCUUUUUCAACAUUAUUUUCUAAAAUGUUUGUACCUUAAACGUCUAACUUUGGGUUUUAGAUUUUGCAUUUAGACCAGCUAAUUUUUUUGGGCGAGGAAAAACUGGGGAAAAAGGGGGUGAACCCUUGAUGUGGAAUCUUUAGUAGUGCAGUUUACCAAUAGAGAGAGCAUGAUUGGAAAUAAGUUCUUGAAUAGUAAAAUGUGUCCUGAAUACUGAGUAUCAGACCAUGAACAUAAAUUAGGUACUAAUGCUAUUCAUUUUUCAAAGUUACUACUUGCAAUGUUGAGCAUCUACAAUUACUACAAGUUACUGAUCCAUUUGUUGUUCUUUCAUAGCUCACAGUGAAUUAUAAUUACUGCUAACGAGCUGUACUGGUCUGAUUCAUAAGUGAGGUUGUUUUCCUCAGCUGAUAGACUGACAUGCGCAUUGCUAAAACAAUAACUAUUCAUUGCUCAAACACAGAGUGGGUUUGUUUGGACAAAGAAAAUUUGCAAGAUUUAUUUCAGAUUUUGUUUUGCUUGCAUCAUACACACAAUUCCCAAUCACCUUUUUAUCUCACAUACAUCACAUCACAAAAAGUACUACAGUAACUGGAUCAAAUAAAUCAUCCAAAUAAAUUCUUAUUGCUCAAACACAGUGUUUCUGAAUGCACAUAAUAUUUUGGGAAGGACCCCUUUCUUGACCAAUGGUACUUCAGCAUUUUCCCAUCGUUCAUAAAGUUUUCCUCUUUCUGCAAAUCCAUACAUAGGACAUAUGCUAUAAGACCUGUAUAUCCAGUUGUAAGAGAAUUAAUUUAAAACAUUCUUGUCAAUAAAGUAAUAUUUAUUCCUGUUCAUUUGCAUGAACGUUUCUUUUAUCUGUGUGCUGAUGUCAUGGCAGUCCAUAAUCGACGGUUUUGUGUUUCUGUGUACAGGCUGAUAGAGAAGCCCGGGCGAGGAGGAGCAACUAUAUGAUCUUUGAAAAUGAUAGAGGAUAUUAUUAACACCCUGUAUUUACUGGUACCGCACCACAAAGUUGGGGUACUUUUUCUGGCUCAGAACCAACUGGGCAGCGAGUAUAUGAUCACUUGACCAUCUUUCGUUGCAUUUUUCUGAUUGCAAAGCUUGUUGAAACUGAGGUUACCUGUAUAUCGAAGUGUGACUAAAGUACUACUAAGGUAUAUGGACGACUUGUCCAUCAGAAUAACUCUUUAUUCUGCUUAAUGAUCUUCGCUACUUCUCCAUCAGCAUUGUUCAACAAGUGCUGCAGCUGCUUGCUUUCAUUGAAAUCAAGCGUCAACAUUGUCAAUGCCAGGGGAGAAGGGAAUAUAAGUGAGAGACUUCGGGUUCGAGUCUUUCCACUUAUACUAAAAAGAAAAAAUUUAUUAAAAAAAAAAGCCUCAACAUUGUCAGUGGAUUAUGUUCUAAAUAGACAGAUUCGUAGGCUAUUGAUUUUUUAUGUUUCCAUAAUUGUGCCAUUGAUUUCAGGUUCUCAUCUUGUUUAGUUGCAUUUUUCUUUUAUUAGCUCCUUUUGGAUUCUUCCUUUCCUAGGGCAAUAAAGAAAUUGCUUCCCCUUGAAAACAUGUUUGAAAAGGUCUAUUCUAAAAGUGGAUUAAGCUCAAUUGGAUAUGUGAGAUUCAAGAAAAUCAAGCAAUCAAAAAAAUCAAUUUGAAAUGAUUUAUAUCUAGAUUUAUAAGUAUUCCACUCGAACGGACAUAGUUAUCAAUACGAUCUCUUUACAGCUAAGAUAUUACUUGCCAACGAUAUUUCCAAUUAAGAUAUUACUUGAUUUCCAAGUCCGUUAACUCAACUUUUAAGUCUUUAACGAAACAAAUUAGUAUAUUGUUGGAACUUGGGAAUAAAGAUAAACAAUUUGGCCAAUUAUACAAUUCGUUGAAUGUUGCAACACAAUUCCAUUACAAUCAUAGAGAAAAUGGGCUUAGCAACAACAUAUGUUUUUAUGUUUUGCCUUAUGAGGAGUCUUUCAUCCAGAGAAGGCAGAGAUAUACAAGAAAAAUCGUAUUGAUUUUAUUUAUUGGUUUUUGAAAUCUUUUGUUCACAUUUCUUGAGUUUAGUCAUAUCAUAGCUGUUCUUUUUCUUUUGCCAGAAAAAAAGGGAAUAGGUUAUGGUAUCAUACCUAUUCCACAGAGCUCAAACUCACAUUUGUCUCUCCCCAAAUUUCGUAUUUAGUUAGAUUACUCUGUUCUUACAAAAAUUCAUUAGACAAAGAGGUAGUGUAAUUGAAAUAUCGGGUAAACUUCCUUCAAAAAAAAUAUAUCGGGUAAACUAGCAAAUAUGGCUUCCCCAGACCUGUGGAUACCAAAAGCUUAAAAGGAGGUUUUUCAUAAUUAUUCCAAAGAUAAGGAGUGAUUACUGUAAUUUGUCAUAGUGUGACUCGUCCCUUUUUAGGCUUACAGACAGACUUUUGGCCUUAUUCGUUAAUUUUGCUCUAGAAAAGGACAAAAUCAGAACAUCCCAAUCAUCAAAAAAUCUCAGGUGCAAGAAUCUGACUUUUUGAUGCUGACAGGGCGUAACUCCGAAAAAGAGGGAUGUUAACAAAGGAGCGGAAACAAAAAAGAAAUCAGCAGAGAAAAAGAGAAAGAGACAAAGGAUGAGAACAAAAUGUUGAGGAAAUAAAGACAAAAUUUCGACAUCUUUAGAGCUCCUCUGGAACAAAAUUUGCUGAUUUUUAAUUAAUCUGCAAGACCCUUUUGUCCCAGGAAAGGGGGAAGAGAGCUUUGAUACC
rnacentral:lncRNA from 1 species